rnacentral:rRNA from 1 species
AGGGAAUGCCUUCAGUAACGGCGAAGUGAAAGCGGCAACAGCUCAAAUUUGAAAUCUGGCCUCUCGGGGUCCGAGUUGUAAUUUGUAGAGGAUGUUUUGGGUACCGCCCCGGUUUAAAUUUCUUGGAACAGAAUGUCAGAGAGGGUGAGAAUCCCGUCUUGGACCGGCGGUAGGGCCUGUGUAAAACUCCUUCGACGAGUCGAGUUGUUUGGGAAUGCAGCUCAAAAUGGGUGGUAAAUUUCAUCUAAAGCUAAAUAUUGGCCAGAGACCGAUAGCGCACAAGUAGAGUGAUCGAAAGAUGAAAAGAACUUUGAAAAGAGAGUUAAACAGUAUGUGAAAUUGUUGAAAGGGAAGCGCUUGCAACCAGACUUGAGCGCGACGGUUCCCCUAGCCUUUUGGCUAGGUUACUCUGUCGUGUCCAGGCCAACAUCGGUUCUGAGGGUCGGUCAAAGGCCCCGGGAAUGUACCUACCCACGGGUAGACUUAUAGACCGGGGUGUCAUGCGGCCUCUCGGGACCGAGGAACGCGCUUCGGCUCGGAUGUUGGCGUAAUGGUUGUCAGCGACCCGUCUUGAAACACGGACCAAGGAGUCUAACAUCUAUGCGAGUGUUUGGGUGUCAAACCCGGAACGCGGAAUGAAAGUGAACGGAGGUAGGAAGCUUCGGCUGCACUAUCGACCGAUCCUGAAGUUUACGGAUGGAUUUGAGUAAGAGCAUAGCUGUUGGGACCCGAAAGAUGGUGAACUAUGCCUGAAUAGGGUGAAGCCAGAGGAAACUCUGGUGGAGGCUCGCAGCGGUUCUGACGUGCAAAUCGAUCGUCAAAUUUGGGUAUAGGGGCGAAAGACUAAUCGAACCAUCUGGUAGCUGCUUCUGCGA